AUCCAGCUGAUGAGUCUGAAAUUGGACGAAACGCGACUCCUGGAU
rnacentral:hammerhead_ribozyme from 1 species